GAAUGUGGGGGCAAGCUGGCUGUGACAUCCGCCACCCCACUGAUCACCAGGGUUGAUUCAGCUGAUCUGACUAGCUAGGCAGGGUCCCCUCCCUCAGUGUUCCACAUGCAUCCCUCCCAAAGCUGCAAGCUCAGUCAAAGGCAACCUUCUUCCAUCAAGAGUAGAGUCACUGCGCUCCCCUGCUAGAACCUCCGAACAAGCUCUUAAGACCAGCCUGGAUUCUGCUUUAAAAACAAAAGAGGAAAGUAGA
rnacentral:snRNA from 1 species